GACGAACGCUGGCGGCGUGCUUAAUACAUGCAAGUCGAGCGAACAGACGAGGAACUUGCUCUUCUGACGUUUGCGGCGCACGGGUGAGUAACACGUGGAUACCCUACCUAUAAGACUGGGAUAACUUCGGGAAACCGGAGCUCAUACCGGACAAUCUAUUUAACCGCAUGGUUCAAUAGUGAAAGACGGUUUUGCUGUCACUUAUAGAUGGAUCCGCGCCGCAUUGGCUAGUUGGUAAGGUAACGGCUUACCAAGGCAACGAUGAGUAGCCGACCUGAGAGAUGGACAGCCCACAUUGGAACGGGACCCCGGUCCAGACUCCUACGGGGGGCACCAGUAGGGAUUCUUCGGCAUGGGGCGAAAGCCUGACGGAGCAAGGCGGCGGAGGUAAUGAAGGUCUUGGGAUCGUAAAACUCUUUUAUUAGGGAGGAACAAAUUUGUACGUAACGAGACACGGCUUGACGGUACCUAAUCAGAAAGCCACGGCUAACUACGUG
rnacentral:rRNA from 1 species